rnacentral:rRNA from 1 species
AUUGAACGCUGGCGGCAUGCCUUACACAUGCAAGUCGAACGGCAGCACGGGGGCGAACCCUGGUGGCGAGUGGCGAACGGGUGAGUAAUGCAUCGGAACGUGUCCUCUUGUGGGGGAUAACCAGUCGAAAGAUUGGCUAAUACCGCAUGAGAUCGAGAGAUGAAAGCGGGGGACCGCAAGGCCUCGCGCGAGAGGAGCGGCCGAUGCCGGAUUAGCAGUUGGUGGGGUAAAGCCUACCAAGGCGACGAUCCGUAGCUGGUCUGAGAGGACGACCAGCCACACUGGGACUGAGACACGGCCCAGACUCCUACGGAGGCAGCAGUGGGGAAUUUUGGACAAUGGGCGCAAGCCUGAUCCAGCCAUGCCGCGUGUGUGAAGAA